UAUACCCUCUAGAGGUUUCUAUUGGUUAUGUGGUGUUUGUUCUAUGUAAAUGAAGAGGAUGAAGUAAAGUUACAAAGUCAUUUACUCGUGUAUGUAAAUUGAGAGGGUAUUUCCUGUCAUAGCUGUAGUAUUUCCAUUUGAUUUAGUUCUAGGAAGUCAGCAUGACUCAGUCUUAUGUUCCCUGCCUCCAGACCCUUUUCUCCUGCCUCACAAACAGUAGCCAAAUUGAUCUUUUAAAAAUGCAAAAAUAGAUCAUGCUGUUCCUGUCUUCCCAUUGCACUCAUAAUAUAUCUAAACCCCUUAAAAUGGCCUACACUUUGUGUACUGACAUCCUUUCUCACCUUUUCUUUUACUUGCUCAAGAUAGGUUUCUUCCCAUUCCUCAAGCCCAUUAAGUAUGUUCUUGUUUGAGAAUAUUUGCUACGGCCAUUUCCUCUGCCUGGAAUGCUCUUCCAGCAGGCAAUUCAAGGUUGCAGACCAUAUAUUCAGCUGUGCCAUGUGCUACUGUAUAACAAAAGUAGCCACAGAAAAUAUAGAAACAAAUGAGAGUGGUCACAGAGGAGUGUUUGUGAAUGCAAAGUGUCUUCCACCUGUUUACAGUAGAGAUACUAAGGAGUAAUUUCAGAAUGGGAAAGCUUAUUGUUUAUAACAAACAUCCUCUUCUCACCCUUAAGAUGUGAGGUCAAGAUCGGCUAUAAAUUAUACCCCUGGUUCAUUCUAAGUAACUUUUCAGAGUCCAAGUUCAGUUGGCAUUGUUCUGGGCGAGUUGGGUCACAGCUGCUUGCUGCCCACAUCUUUUACCCAUUUCCAACAUAAACAGGACACUCACUGAGAAAAGGCACUUCCAGACUUCAACCUAAGAAACAUAAAUUACAUCAAGUUACAGAGAAAUCAGAAAACAUUAUCUUGUUAUUGAGAACUGCUUGAUCUUAAACCAAAGCAACAGAGAUGUAGAGUCAAAGAGAAAUAAGCAAGCAUGUGGGAUGCUCAGUGGCCACCUCAGGCACAUUCUCAUUGGGUCUUUCAAAAAAUGGUCAUCCUAAUUGGCUAACCUAGAACAGUUUGCCCAGCCUACAGGUGCUGCAAAAAAUGUAGUUCCACUAGAAGGCACCAUUGUAGUAUUUGAAAUAAUUUUUAAAUGGCUAUAUGGACCAUGCUCUAUCAUCUUCCUUCAGUCUGUCAUCCCACAUGAUCUCCUCAAAAUACAAUUUUAAUUACAAAAAUCAGAAGAAAUGGAUACCAUACACACACCUUAAUCCCUAACGUAUUUUUUGC
rnacentral:lncRNA from 1 species